GCCCGCGCUCCUCCGGCUCCGCGGCGCCCUCGCCGGGUGCGUGCCGCUUGCACGCCCGCCCGCCCGGCUCUCCGCGCCCGCCGCCCGCGCCCGGCCCCGGCGCCCCGGCCCUGCUGCCCGCGCUUCAUGGCUGCGCACGAAUGGGACUGGUUCCAGCGCGAGGAGCUCAUCGGACAGAUCAGCGACAUCCGAGUCCAGAACCUUCAAGCGCCUCUGACCCAUCACUACCGCCAGGCAGGUGUGUGGCACCAUCACCUCGUGCUUUAAAUUUGUAUCUUCCGGGCUUCCCUGGUGGCGCAGUGGUUGAGAAUCUGCCUGCCAAUGCAGGGGACAUGGGUUCGAGCCCUGGUCUGGGAAGAUCCCACAUGCCGCGGAGCAACUGGGCCCGUGAGCCACAACCACUGAGCCUGAGCCUGAGCGUCUGGAGCCUCUGCUCCUCAACAAGAGAGGCCGCGAUAGUGAGAGGCCCGCGCACCGCGAUGAAGAGUGGCCCCCGCUCGCCGCAACUGGAGAAAGCCCUCACACAGAAACG
rnacentral:lncRNA from 1 species